rnacentral:rRNA from 1 species
GGGGGUGGGCGGCGUCUACCAUGCAGUCGAACGAUGAUGCCUAGCUUGCUAGGUGGAUUAGUGGCGAACGGGUGAGUAACACGUGAGUAACCUGCCCCUGACUCUGGGAUAAGCCUGAGAAAUUGGGUCUAAUACUGGAUAUGAGCAUCUAUCGCAUGGUGGGUGUUGGAAAGAUUUUUUGGUUAGGGAUGGACUCGCGGCCUAUCAGCUUGUUGGUGAGGUAGUGGCUCACCAAGGCGACGACGGGUAGCCGGCCUGAGAGGGUGACCGGCCACACUGGGACUGAGACACGGCCCAGACUCCUACGGGAGGCAGCAGUGGGGAAUAUUGCACAAUGGGCGAAAGCCUGAUGCAGCGACGCCGCGUGAGGGAUGACGGCCUUCGGGUUGUAAACCUCUUUCAGUAGGGAAGAAGCGAAAGUGACGGUACCUGCAGAAGAAGCGCCGGCUAACUACGUGCCAGCAGCCGCGGUAAUACGUAGGGCGCAAGCGUUAUCCGGAAUUAUUGGGCGUAAAGAGCUCGUAGGCGGUUUGUCGCGUCUGCCGUGAAAGUCCGGGGCUUAACUCCGGAUCUGCGGUGGGUACGGGCAGGCUAGAGUGCAGUAGGGGAGACUGGAAUUCCUGGUGUAGCGGUGAAAUGCGCAGAUAUCAGGAGGAACACCGAUGGCGAAGGCAGGUCUCUGGGCUGUAACUGACGCUGAGGAGCGAAAGCAUGGGUAGCGAACAGGAUUAGAUACCCUGGUAGUCCAUGCCGUAAACGUUGGGCACUAGGUGUGGGGGACAUUCCACGUUUUCCGCGCC